CCUACGGGUGGCUGCAGUGGGGAAUAUUGCGCAAUGGGGGAAACCCUGAUGCAGCAACGCCGCGUGAGUGAAGAAGGAUUUCGGUAUGUAAAGCUCUAUCAGCAGGGAAGAAGAAAGACGGUACCUGACUACGCAGCCCCGGCUAACUACGUGCCAGCAGCCGCGGUAAUACGUAGGGGGCACGCGUUAUCCGGAUGUACUGGGGGUAAAGGGAGAGUAGACGGGUGUGCAAGUCUGAAGUGAAAGCCCGUGGCUCAACCGCGGAACUGCUUUGGAAACUGUAUAGCUGGAGUACUGUAGAGGCAGGCGGAAUUCCUAGUGUAGCGGUGAAAUGCGUAGAUAUUAGGAGGAACACCAGUGGCGAAGG
rnacentral:rRNA from 1 species